rnacentral:rRNA from 1 species
CAGUAGCCACGGUAAUACGUAGGUGGCAAGCGUUGUCCGGAAUUAUUGGGCGUAAAGGGCUCGCAGGCGGUUUCUUAAGUCUGAUGUGAAAGCCCCCGGCUCAACCGGGGAGGGUCAUUGGAAACUGGGAAACUUGAGUGCAGAAGAGGAGAGUGGAAUUCCACGUAUAGCGGUGAAAUGCGUAGAGAUGUGGAGGAACACCAGUGGCGAAGGCGACUCUCUGGUCUGUAACUGACGCUGAGGAGCGAAAGCGUGGGGAGCGAACAGGAUUAGAUACCCCUGUAGUCCCUGUCUCUUAUAC